rnacentral:lncRNA from 1 species
UUUGGUUGUUGGGUCGACUGGGAAGGAGUGGAGAAAGGAAGGGGUUGAAUUAUGUUGUUUUGUUUGCAAUGAUGAAAAUGGACUCUGUUUGGUUGCUGAGAAAGCUGGGGAGAAGAAAGGGGAAAUAAAGGAAGGGCUGAAAGAUUGACCUAAACUGAGGCAGAUAGUUGAGUUAGAUUUGGAUGAUUCUGUUUGGCUUGUGAAGAUGAAAAACGCUUUUUUUUUGGAUUAUGUUUUUUAGAGACUGUUUUUGGUUGUUGACAAAGCCAGGGAAACUAAAAGAAAAGGAAAGCAAGGGUUGAAUUGUGUUAUUUGGUUUUGGCAGAUGAAAGAUUGACCUAAAUAAGCUGGGUAGUAGAGCUAGGUUUGAAAGAUUGUUUUGUUGCUGAGAAAACUAGGUAAAAGAGAAGAGAGGGGAAAUAAAGGAAGGGCUGAAAGAUUGACCUAAACUGAGGCAGAUAGUUGAGUUAGAUUUGGAUGAUUCUGUUUGGCUUGUGAAGAUGAAAAACGCUUUUUUUUUGGAUUAUGUUUUUUAGAGACUGUUUUUGGUUGUUGACAAAGCCAGGGAAACUAAAAGAAAAGGAAAGCAAGGGUUGAAUUGUGUUAUUUGGUUUUGGCAGAUGAAAGAUUGACCUAAAUAAGCUGGAUAGUAGAGCUAGGUUUGAAAGAUUGUUUUGUUGCUGAGAAAACUAUGUAAAAGAGAAGAAAAGAAAGGGUUGAGUUGUGGUGUUUGGUUUUGCUAGAUGAAAUAUCGACUUAAACUAAGCCAGAUAGUUGAGUUACAUUUGGAUGAGUUGAUGCCU